AAGCAGGUAGCAGAGACCGAGUUUAAAAUCGUCUGAGAAAAUGGUCCUGUCCCACAGUCUCACGGUGGCGAGCGGGGGUUCCCAGUUCCCCAAAUAAAACAACUAACAACCCUAACAACAGCGUGCUACGUUCUACCGAGUCUGAGGUCAACGGCGUUUUUAAAAACAAGAACUUUCCAGACUGAAGUGGAAGAUGAAGAAAGCAGGUCUCCACUUUCUUCUAAGAAAUCAACUCAACUUAAACAUUUUUUUUUAAAAAAAAAAUGCGAAGUUUUCUCGAAAACACAAGUUGUGAGAACCUCAAGAAAGUUAAGUGCGAAGUUCUCAGCAGCUCCAAUUCAACUUGGCGGCCCUGACUCAUCUGAUCCCCCAAGGGACCGGUCGUCUGCUAACUUCCCAGUCACCCACGAUCGCCGGCCCCAAGGCAGGGGACUCAGGGACAGAAAAGGGGAUCCCGGGACGCGGCUUACCCAUCACCGAGCAGUUAAGGUCGCUUCGGGGACCUCUGGGGCCCACCUGGAAGACCCAGGUGCCCAGCAGGUCAGGGUAGGUGCAGUUGGCAGGUGUGUCGGAGCGCACCGUGCACACUCCCACGAGCACCAGCAACAGGGCGGCGCGCCCCAAGUAGAGCCAGGGACCCAUGGCUGAUGGCGCCCGGGAAGCCGAGAGCAGUGAAAGCAAGAUAUGGAGCACCGAGCGAUGGGAGUCAGGCGACCCUAGUGGCUCGCGCCUUAAAAUACCCAAGAGCCCGGAAACCCUAAACCCAGGGGCGGGGUUACAGGGCACUGAGAACCGAACGAAGUGGGGCGGGGGGAGGGGGUAGGAGGAGCGGCGAGGCUGCGAGGACCCGGGUGGUGGAGAGGCUGAGAUGAGGGCGGGGCAGGGUGUGACUAGAUCACAGAUGUUUGCCUGCAGACUUUUUCCACCGAGAGAAGCGAUAUGAGGAAGCAAAAUGGUUGAAGAACAAACCACUUCUGUCUCCGGAUUUUACCUUAAAAACACUCAGGCUUGGCAGGAGUAUUUCAUGGGAACGGAGGGGUGACAGUGCCCUUUAAAAUGUGAACUAAGUGGAGAGGGGCCAAUACCUUCUACACCUCAUAGGUCUUUAAAGGAUUAACAAUGACAUUGUAUAAUUAAGGUAGCAUUUUUAAAGGCACCAUUACAUACUAACAUUACUUUCCUAAAUUUCUGCAAGAUUUGCCAUUGUUAAAACAUUAAAAAUUUUACUAAAUGACCCAUAUCUUAGAGCCGAAACGUGAAUCUCGGGAUUUCUUUGAUGUGCCUAAUCAAAGCAGAACAUUUAAUUGUGAGAGAAAUUUAAAGCAACUUUUCUGCAAAGAGAAAUAGAGAUUGCAGGGGCUCUUUGGAUUAAUUUUGAAUUCAUUCUGAUAUUAGGAAAUGGAGAUUUAGAGUGUUGAAUCACUUGUUAAAUGCCAUUGCCAGUUAUUGAAAAUAAGCAGACAAUGGGUAUAUGUUUUAUGCCCCAAAGUGUAGUAUAUAUUGAAUAAUAUGAGAUAAAAUGAGUUUCUAGGCAAAGCACCCUUUGUGCCUGGGCUUCCAUGAUCAUUGGGAGGUUUCCAGAGGCAGCCCUGCCUAGCAUGGUUCUGGAAAUGUAGUUCCAGGGCCAGCAAACGUCAGCAUCAAUCUGGAAUUUACUAGAAAUGCCAAUCUUUGAGUCCUACCUUAUUCCUGCCAAACUGACAAUGUUGAGUGUGCUAGACAGCGGUCAAAACUCCCCUCAUCUGGCUUCAUUCGUGUGGUUCGUCCUAGUGAUGAGAUUGACUUUUGUAGAGGACUUCCUGCUUUUCCACCGUAGGACGGUAUUAAUUCUGUACAUCAAGCUUUAUCACAGCGCUCAGUCGAUAUCCUCCCGUUCAUUUCCUCAACAAAAUGAAUGAAAGAAAAGAAGGCAGGAAGACGAGCCAGAAGGAAGGUCACCUGAUUCCAGGCUAUCUUCGUAAAGCUACCUAGUUAGCUAAUUGCGCUGUUACGCUUUUUUCUCACUCUCUGUCUUCUCACAGCUCAGAGCACCUUUGCUUGACACUCUUUGUGUGAUAAGAUCUCACUAUGGACUCUUGGGUGGCCUGGAACUCAAACUCGCUGAGCAAACCAGGAUAGCCCUCUAUUCAUAUAGACUGCCCGUCUCUGCUUCCCAAUUCUGGAAUCACACGAGUGUCACCGUGCUCAGCUAGCGUCACGAAGUUUGUAAAGACUCCAAAAUAAAGUUUAUUCUACUAUGAAAGCAAAGUAAUUUUAAAAGAAAAAAAAUAUUCAUUUAAUAAUAAUGGUAAUAACAUGAGAUAGAACUGGACGUGCAUCAAUUCCCAGAAUGUCCUUGCUGGAGGCCAGAAGAGAGUUCUGGCUUCUGUGUCUUCGCUAUCUUCAACACGAACACUGCUGCCUAGGGGCUGCACUAAACUACCUGCCUAUGUGUCUACUGGCUGAAACCUAGAACAGGCACCUGAAUCUUGCUUGGGCCAACUGGAUUGAUCAGCUCAUCCCCUCCCCAGGCCUCGCUCCUCUUUCUGCCCUAAGCCCUUGAAAAGCCCUCAGACUAGCAGCUCAAUGAUACUCUGUUUCCCGGGGACCACACACCUUCAUCCCCCUCGUUCUCACGUAUGAAUCUAUAAUAAACUUCUCUCGCAACCCCGUCA